UCUGCAAGGUGUUUACGGUAACAAGGGAUUGGAAACAACCUAAAUGGCCAUCAGCAGGAGUCUGAAUUAACAGAUGAAUUGCAUAGUCACACCAUAGAAUACCGUGUGGUUUUCUGAAAGGAUGGGCAUUGAGCACUUUGGAGAGAGCGAGCCCCUACCUUCCUCCCGGGCAGAACGGAGCUCAAUGCGGGUCUUCUGAAGGGCUUCCUCUAGCUCUGCACAGCGAGCUUUCUCCUUCUCCAGGGCCAGCUUCAGCUCAUUGUACUGCAGAGGAACCUGUGUGGGCAAAGCAGGGUCCUCUUUCCGUCGACUAAAUAAACCCUAGCAAUGGAAACAGAGAUAUCUCCUAACUCCUGGAAACUGGCACUUGAAACUAGCUAAAGGAAAUCUGACUCGGGAGGAGCAAACCACAAAAGCCAGGAGCAUACUCACUGUAUUCUAAGUCAUCAAGGCCUCCCCCGUAAAACCAUUGCCACUGCCACUAUGGUAUGCUUCUGCAUUUGGAAGGAAACUGCAAGCUCCUCCGAGACUUUUCUGGAACUGAGAACACCUGGCUAAACCUAGUAUGAAGGCUUCAGUGGUUUGGAAAAGCAUGUAUUGAUCAGGCUUAUGAAAAACAAUCUUCUCAUGUGCACUACAUAUAACCCUGCCCCUAGUCUGUCAUCUGUUUGUCUCUUACAAUCUAAAAGGGAUGUUUGGUACUUGGCAGAGGGGAUAACUGUCCAGUCAGACACUACAGGCAGGUCACUCCAGUUCCCUGAGUUCUAGUCUCUUUGUGAGCCAAUCAAAAGGACUGGACUAGACCACUGUUAAAGUCCUUUCUGGAGUGUGGUACAAGGACCUGAACUGCUGAGGCCCUAUCCUCGUGACUUGCUAACUCCCUCUAGAGUCACGUAAGCAUGACUUAGGUAUAAAUCUUUCUCUCUGCAUACACCCCCUCUGCCCCAGCUGCUAUGUGUAUGUGUGGGCUGGGGAGGGAUUACUUCUUUAACAGAGAAAGAUACUACGAUUUCAAUGGCCAUAAACAAAAAGUAGUUUGUUAGACUUGAUCAACGAUAUCUUUUGAUAAGACCUAUUGUAAUUGUCUCAAAAUCUAUUUUUCAACCCAAAAUAAAACAAAAAAA